GAUGAAGAACGUAGCGAAAUGCGGUAAGUAAUGCGAAUUGCAGAAUUCCGUGAGUCAUCGAAUCUUUGAACGCACAUUGCGCCCCCUGGUAUUCCGGAGGGCAUGUCUGUCCGAGCGUCAUUAGUCCAAUCUCAAGCCCGGCUUGUCGUUGGGUCGCACCGCCCGGGGCGGUGGACCCGAAAUAUAAUGACGGGGUCUAGCGGACCGUGGGCGCAGCGAGCUUUUACAGCACGCGUCCCGGCGUCAUCUAGACGCGUCUCCAACCAUACUCUCUGUAGGUUGACCUCGGAUCAGACAGGAUUACCCGCUGAACUUAAGCAUAUCAAUAAGCGGAGGA
rnacentral:misc_RNA from 1 species